rnacentral:misc_RNA from 1 species
GGGAGCAAGGUUGUUACUGAUAUAUAAUUAAUUGAAUUGAUUAUGUGAUGCCAUUAAGAAAUGCUUAUGUAACUAAAGAUAGCUUCUUGAUUUGUGAUCAUGUUCCACUUCUUUAUGUAAUGUCAUUAGCAAGUUGUCAAAUUUAAGGCAGGAGUCAAAGGAAAAGAAUUUCCCCCCUAGUGGACUGCUGGUUCUAUAUGUUCCAUAGCACCCCUUGCUUUCUCUCUCUGUAUCCUUAAAGUUUUGUGAUUGAUGAUUACACCAUUCUAAUCUUCUUGAACUGAUGUUGGGUUGCUUUACUUUGGUUUUAGUUUGGGCUUAUCUUCUGUAAGUGAUGAGUAUUUUAGUAAUCUUAAUUGUGUUUGGUAAAAAUUGCUUUUGUGGUUUAUGCAUGCC